rnacentral:misc_RNA from 1 species
GAAAUAGUUCUAAGCUGCUCAAAAACCUUUUAUAUUGAUUCAUUGCUGCCAUAAAUCAACAAUCAAUUGAAUUUUUGUUGCGCAUUCAGUAAUGCUUCCAGCCAUGGCCAAUUGGCAAUUCUUCUGGCUUAUUUUGAUGCUGAAAUUUCUAUUUUCUUAUUUCAAAACUCUGUUCCUGUGCAUAUGAAUUACGUAAUGCUAUUACCAAUCUUACCAUAACUAUGCUUUUCUCUUCUCUGUGAUUGUACUAUGCAGGUGGUCUUCCAUAAAACUGG